GGAAAGAACAACGGGAUUGCCUCAGUAACGGCGAGUGAAGCGGCAACAGCUCAAAUUUGAAAUCUGGCCCCUUGGGCCCGAGUUGUAAUUUGUAGAAGGUGCUUCGGGCGAGACCCCGGUCCAAGUCCCUUGGAACAGGGCGUCGCAGAGGGUGAGAAUCCCGUAUGUGGCCGGUGGGCAAGCCCGUGUGAAGCCCUUUCGACGAGUCGAGUUGUUUGGGAAUGCAGCUCUAAAUGGGUGGUAAAUUUCAUCUAAAGCUAAAUAUCUGCCCAAGACCGAUAGCGCACAAGUAGAGUGAUCGAAAGAUGAAAAGCACUUUGAAAAGAGAGUCAAAAAGUACGUGAAAUUGCUGAAAGGGAAGCGCUUGCAACCAGACUCGUUCGCGGGUGCUCAGCUGCUCCUCGGGGCGGUGCAUUCUCCCGCGAUUCGGGCCAGCAUCGGCUUCGACGGUUGGACAAAGGUUUUGAGAACGUAGCUCUCUGCGGGGAGUGUUAUAGCUCGAAGCGUCAUGCAACCAGUCGAGGCCGAGGACUGCGUAUUUACAAGGAUGUUGGCGUAAUGGUUGCCAGCGACCCGUCUUGAAACACGGACCAAGGAGUCGACCAAUCGGGCGAGUUUUAGGGCAUUAAACCCUGAAGCGUAAUGAAAGUGAACGUAGGUGGGAGCCUUUGGCGCACCAUCGACCGAUCUUGAUGUUUACGGAUGGAUUUGAGUACGAGCCCGGCUGGUCGGACCCGAAAGAUGGUGAACUAUGCGUGAAUAGGGUGAAGCCAGAGGAAACUCUGGUGGAGGCUCGCAGCGGUUCUGACGUGCAAAUCGAUCGUCAAAUUUGCGCAUAGGGGCGAAAGACUAAUCGAACCAUCUAGUAGCUGGUUCCCGUCGAAGUUUCCCUCAGGAUAGCAGCAACGUAAUCAAUCUCAUGGUGAGUCUUUUUAGUCGCGCGCAAUUUAGAAAAUAGUAGAAACUGACAUAAUUUUACAGAGGUAGAGCAAACGAUUAGAGGUCUUGGGAUUAUAAUUAAUCUUAACCUAUUCUCGAACUUCGAAUAUGUGAGAAGUCCUUGUUACUUAGUUGAACGUGGACAUUUGGAUGUAUCGUUGCUAGUGGGCCAUUUUUGGUAAGCAGAACUGGCGAUGCGGGAUGAACCGAACGCGAGGUUACGGUGUCGGAAUACACGCUCAUCAGACACCACAAAAGGUGUUAGUUCAUCUAGACAGCCGGUAGGUCCAAUUCGCUAUGUUCGUUAAUGCCAAUGCUAAUCUUUCUUUUUAGGACGGUGGCCAUGGAAGUCGGAAUCCGCUAAGGAGUGUGUAACAACUCACCGGCCGAAUGAACUAGCCCUGAAAAUGAAUGACGCUCAAGCGUGUUACCUAUACCUCGCCGCCGGGGUAAAAACGAUGCCCCGGCGAGUAGGCGGGCGUGGGGGUCUGUGACAAAGCCUGGG
rnacentral:rRNA from 1 species